GCUGUUACAGCCUGUUCCACGAUGUCGAAAGAACACGUUCGCACAACUUUUACACGACAAACAGCUGAUUUCCGUUCCACUAAAAUCCAUCAGAACGAAAAUUUGCACGAAAAUCAAAGCGAACGAAAACGUAAGCGUUUCAGUGUAAUUUUGCGUUCCACUAUCUUUUUUCUUUCGUACGCAUGCGAACACAAAUGUCAAAAUCAGUCACUUGUGUGUUUGCUGUCGAAUGAUAAAAAUUAAGGAAAAUUGUUUUAACAUAAACAUUCCUUGAUUGAAAAUGGAAAGAAAAAUCACGAAAAAACUACACAGCUGCGGGCACUAGUUGAGUAUAUGGGGGAGAAUCCUAAGUUCGCCAGAGGAGUGCCAAUUUUUGGAAGCAGCAGGCAAUCCCAUGAAGACCACUGGAAGACACAAACCUAGAAAAAAUCAUUUUUUUAUUAUUUCAAAAAUGUAAAAAUACAAUCAUACUUACUGGUUGUUAGGUACUUCAAAUAAAUUCGAAGCAUCUCUUAAA